UACGGAGGGUGCGAGCGUUGUCCGGAAUCACUGGGCGUAAAGGGCGCGUAGGUGGCGCGAGAAGUCAACGGUGAAAGGCCCGGGGCCUCAACCCCGGGGUCGGCCGUCGAUACUCUUGGGCUCGAGCACUGUAGAGGCAGGUGGAAUUCCGGGUGUAGCGGUGGAAUGCGUAGAGAUCCGGAAGAACACCGGUGGCGAAGGGCGGCCUGCUGGGCAGUGCUGACACUGAGGCGCGGACAGCGU
rnacentral:rRNA from 1 species